ensembl:miRNA
CAGGAUCACAGACGUUUAAAUUACACUCCUUCUGCUGCGCCUUACAGCAGUAGAAGGGGUGAAAUUUAAACGUCUGUGAUCCUG